ensembl:snRNA U6 U6 spliceosomal RNA
GUGCUUACUUUGGCAGCACGUAUUCUAAAAUUGGAAUAAUACAGAGAAGAUUAACAUGGCCUCUGUGAAAUGAUGACAUACAAAUUCAUGAAAUCUUUCAUAUUUUU